rnacentral:rRNA from 1 species
AACGAACGCUGGCGGCAGGCUUAACACAUGCAAGUCGAGCGCAUCCUUCGGGGUGAGCGGCGGACGGGUGAGUAACGCGUGGGAACGUGCCCUCUUCUACGGAAUAGCCUCGGGAAACUGAGAGUAAUGCCGUAUACGCCCGCAAGGGGAAAGAUUUAUCGGAGGAGGAUCGGCCCGCGUUGGAUUAGGUAGUUGGGGGGGUAACGGCCUACCAAGCCGACGAUCCAUAGCUGGUUUGAGAGGAUGAUCAGCCACACUGGGACUGAGACACGGCCCAGACUCCUACGGGAGGCAGCAGUGGGGAAUCUUGGACAAUGGGGGCAACCCUGAUCCAGCCAUGCCGCGUGAUCGAUGAAGGCCUUAGGGUUGUAAAGAUCUUUCAGCUGGGAAGAUAAUGACGGUACCAGCAGAAGAAGCCCCGGCUAACUCCGUG